CUCCUGGAAACGGGUGGUAAUGCCGGAUGCUCCGCCCCCUCGCAUGGGGGGUCGGGAAGGCUUUUGCGGAAUGGGAUGGGGUCGCGUCCUAUCAGCUUGUUGGCGGGGCGACGGCCCACCAAGGCUUCGACGGGUAGCCGGCCUGAGAGGGCGACCGGCCACAUUGGGACUGAGAUACGGCUCAGACUCCUACGGGAGGCAGCAGUGGGGAAUAUUGCACAAUGGGGGGAACCCUGAUGCAGCGACGCCGCGUGCGGGAUGGAGGCCUUCGGGUCGUGAACCGCUUUUGAUUGGGAGCAAGCGUGAGUGAGUGUACCUUUCGAAUAAGCACCGGCUAACUACGUGCCAGCAGCCGCGGUAAUACGUAGGGUGCAAGCGUUGUCCGGAAUCAUUGGGCGUAAAGGGCUCGUAGGCGGUUCGUCGCGUCCGGUGUGAAAGCCCAUCGCUUAACGGUGGGUCUGCGCCGGGUACGGGCGGGCUUGAGUGCGGCAGGGGAGGCUGGAAUUCCCGGUGUAACGGUGGAAUGUGUAGAUAUCGGGAAGAACACC
rnacentral:rRNA from 1 species